CAGGGUUAGCUCUGGGUGAGCAAAACAUUUCGCCAAAUUAUCUGUUAAACUUCACAAAUUGCAGAAAUCAACAGAUAUUUUCUUUAAAAUGUGAAUUAUUACAUGAAAUUAUUUCGCCAACUGUUUUAAAAAUUUGUAAUUGGCGAAUUUGGCGAGUGCCAGAGCUAGCCCUGUGAACUACAUUUUAACUAACAGUAACAGUGCACACAAAAGAUAAGGUAGCUUGUACAUUGUACAAACGUUUUAGUACCAGAUACCAAGGGCAAAAUAAGGGAUGGGUAUUUCCUCAAAGUCGACCAAUACACAAUGAUAUACGGUAACCAAACGUUUCUUCUUUUUCUUUUUGUUUUGCUUUUCAGUUUUUUUUGUUUGUUUGUUUGUUUUUUUAAUUUUAAUGGUGGGGUGGGUUGGGGCUGUGCAACCAUCCUCCUUUAAUUUUCACCCAGCAAGAUACUAUAUAGGUACAAUUUAAUGUCACCCUUGGAACACUUUUCAUGUCAUAUCAUCACCGAAAACUUGAGCGACUUCGUCUCAUAAACACCAGGUUCCAUUAAAUGUUAUCUUAUACUAGUAGUCCAUGAUUCCAUUUAUAAUAAAUUCUUGUUUAUUGAAGUUUAUUGACAUACAUUGAAGAAAUCCCAUGCCUCAACUGGGAUCCGAACCCAUUACCUACCAGCCUGUAGACCGAUGGCCUAACCACGACGUCACCGAGGCCGGUAGUAAUGCAAGAGAAUACACAAAUAAUACUUCACUAACAGUCGGACCUGUUAUCACACUUACAAAUAAUCCACCUGGUAAUUUAAAAUUAGCACUGAGUUAUCUCCCAUGUACAUAUAUUUCAGGUUGCUACAGUGGAUGAUCGAUGAAUUGUCUCCCAUUAAUUUGCAGAUCGAAUCGACUGUGGUGCUGGGAAGUUUGUCUAAAGGAACUGAUGAGAACAUUAACGCCAUUGUAGAUGCUGGAUGUGUAUCAGUCUUGUUGAAAGGUUUGUCCAACCCAAACUUGAAGUAUGUGGAAGUGUGUCUUAGAUGUCUGUGAACAAUUUUCAUGUGCAAUAAAACAGCUAUAGACCUAGUUUAUCAGCAUCUGUCAUUGCAGGAGACGGAAUGUAGCCCAGUGGUAAAGCGCUCACCUGAUGUGCGGUUGGUCUGGGAUCGAUCCCUAUCGGUGGGCCCAUUGGGUUAUUCCUCGUUCCAACCAGUGCACCAUGACUGUUUUAUCAAAAUGUUGUGACUCUUCCCACACUAGUCCGAAUGUGUAAAAAAGACCGCCCCCUGGAGGUGAAUGUUGAGGGAGCCGAGACUCUUGCCUAUCUUAUAAAAGUUGACCCGGACCUGCAACGAGCGGCGCCAUUUCCGAUCACAUCAUUAAGGCGCUGGCCGAGUAUCUCAAAUACACAGAUAUUGAGCAGAUUGGGUCGAGAACCAUGAAGGAAAAGUUAAUAAUAAGAUGAUGUAUCUUGUUAAAGUACUCGGACAUCAUGUAGAUCAUCAGAGCAGAAUGUAGCCCUGUGGGAAAGUGUUUACCUCAUAUGCAGUCGGUCUACAAUUGACUCCUGUCGGGCCUUGACCUUAACUUUUUUCAUUACUAGCCCAGCGGGCUACUAGGUUAUAAAAUCUGGUAGGUUAAUAACAUUGGUAGCCCCAUAAUUUUAAUAAAU